GGCAGCAGCUAAGAAUAUUCCGCAAUGGACGAAAGUCUGACGGAGCGACGCCGCGUGGAUGAUGAAGGCCGGAAGGUUGUAAAAUCCUUUUAUGACUGAGGAAUAAGUGAAGUGAGAGAAACGCUUCAUGGUGACUGUAGGUCAUGAAUAAGCAACGGCUAAUUACGUGCCAGCAGCCGCGGUAACACGUAAGUUGCGAGCGUUGUUCGGAAUUAUUGGGCGUAAAGGGUAUGUAGGCGGUUCUGCAAGUCUGGUGUGAAAUUCCGGGGCUCAACCCCGGGACUGCGUUGGAAACUGCAGGACUUGAAUCGCUGAGGGGCAGCCAGAAUUCCAGGUGUAGGGGUGAAAUCUGUAGAUAUCUGGAAGAAUACCAAUGGCGAAGGCAGGCUGCCAGCAGAUGAUUGACGCUGAGGUACGAAGGUGCGGGGAGCAAACAGGAUUAGAUACCCUGGUAGUCCGCACAGUCAACUAUGUACACUGGGUGUCCGCUCAUGAGAGUGGGUGCCGAAGCAAACGCGAUAAGUGUACCGCCUGGGGAGUAUGCCCGCAAGGGUGAAACUCAAAGGAAUUGACGG
rnacentral:rRNA from 1 species